rnacentral:SRP_RNA from 1 species
CGCGGAAGUCGGCGGGCGCGUCGCUCGCUAACCUGGUCAGGCCGGGAACGGAGCAGCCAUACCGAAUCCGACACGGGUCGCCGGCUUCCACCUUC